rnacentral:rRNA from 1 species
AAACGCUUGAAGUCAGUCGCGUCUGCCGGGACUCAGCCUUGCUUCUGCUUGGUGUAUUUUCUGGUUGGAUGGGCCAACAUCAAUUUUGACCGUUGGAGAAAGGCUUUGGGAAUGUGGCACCUUUGGGUGUGUUAUAACCUUUGUUCGCAUACAUUAGUUGGGAUUGAGGAACUCAGCACGCCGAAAGGCCGGGUUAUUAACCACGUACGUGCUUAGGAUGCUGGCAUAAUGGCUUUAAUCGA